rnacentral:rRNA from 1 species
UACGGAGGAUCCAAGCGUUAUCCGGAAUCAUUGGGUUUAAAGGGUCCGUAGGCGGUUUAGUAAGUCAGUGGUGAAAGCCCAUCGCUCAACGGUGGAACGGCCAUUGAUACUGCUAGACUUGAAUUAUUAGGAAGUAACUAGAAUAUGUAGUGUAGCGGUGAAAUGCUUAGAGAUUACAUGGAAUACCAAUUGCGAAGGCAGGUUACUACCAAUAUAUUGACGCUGAUGGACGAAAGCGUGGGGAGCGAACAGG